CACAUUGUCAGGUAGAUUCAGUGCUGCAGCUUCACUGGAAGCAAUUUGUUUGAGUGGUAGGCAGUUCUGAAGUGUAUGUCUUCAGCAAUAAAAUCAGAAUGUUGUUGAAAAUACUGGCUUUUUCAGUAUUUGGUGAGCUUAACCAUGUGUAUAUGUCAUGUGGAGUGGAAUAAAUUGUCUUAAGAUUGGCUUCUUUGGAGGACUAUGCAGCAGUGGGCGGCACGAUGGCUCAGUGGUUAGCACUGCUGCC